rnacentral:rRNA from 1 species
UACAGAGGGUGCAAGCGUUAAUCGGAAUUACUGGGCGUAAAGCGUGCGCAGGCGGCUUCUCAAGUCAGGGGUGAAAGCCCAGAGCUCAACUCUGGAAUUGCCUUUGAGACUGAGUUGCUUGAGUACGAGAGAGGUGAGUGGAAUUCCCAGUGUAGAGGUGAAAUUCGUAGAUAUUCGCAAGAACACCAGUGGCGAAGGCGGCUCACUGGCCCGGUACUGACGCUGAGGCACGAAAGCGUGGGGAGCAAACAGG